rnacentral:miRNA from 1 species
AUGGGGAUCAAUGACUAAGCG